GGGUUGUGAGGUUAAGCGACUAAGCGUACACGGUGGAUGCCCUGGCAGUCAGAGGCGAUGAAGGACGUGCUAAUCUGCGAUAAGCGUCGGUAAGGUGAUAUGAACCGUUAUAACCGGCGAUUUCCGAAUGGGGAAACCCAGUGUGUUUCGACACACUAUCAUUAACUGAAUCCAUAGGUUAAUGAGGCGAACCGGGGGAACUGAAACAUCUAAGUACCCCGAGGAAAAGAAAUCAACCGAGAUUCCCCCAGUAGCGGCGAGCGAACGGGGAGCAGCCCAGAGCCUGAAUCAGUGUGUGUGUUAGUGGAAGCGUCUGGAAAGGCGCGCGAUACAGGGUGACAGCCCCGUACACAAAAAUGCACAUGCUGUGAGCUCGAUGAGUAGGGCGGGACACGUGGUAUCCUGUCUGAAUAUGGGGGGACCAUCCUCCAAGGCUAAAUACUCCUGACUGACCGAUAGUGAACCAGUACCGUGAGGGAAAGGCGAAAAGAACCCCGGCGAGGGGAGUGAAAAAGAACCUGAAACCGUGUACGUACAAGCAGUGGGAGCACGCUUAGGCGUGUGACUGCGUACCUUUUGUAUAAUGGGUCAGCGACUUAUAUUCUGUAGCAAGGUUAACCGAAUAGGGGAGCCGAAGGGAAACCGAGUCUUAACUGGGCGUUAAGUUGCAGGGUAUAGACCCGAAACCCGGUGAUCUAGCCAUGGGCAGGUUGAAGGUUGGGUAACACUAACUGGAGGACCGAACCGACUAAUGUUGAAAAAUUAGCGGAUGACUUGUGGCUGGGGGUGAAAGGCCAAUCAAACCGGGAGAUAGCUGGUUCUCCCCGAAAGCUAUUUAGGUAGCGCCUCGUGAAUUCAUCUCCGGGGGUAGAGCACUGUUUCGGCAAGGGGGUCAUCCCGACUUACCAACCCGAUGCAAACUGCGAAUACCGGAGAAUGUUAUCACGGGAGACACACGGCGGGUGCUAACGUCCGUCGUGAAGAGGGAAACAACCCAGACCGCCAGCUAAGGUCCCAAAGUCAUGGUUAAGUGGGAAACGAUGUGGGAAGGCCCAGACAGCCAGGAUGUUGGCUUAGAAGCAGCCAUCAUUUAAAGAAAGCGUAAUAGCUCACUGGUCGAGUCGGCCUGCGCGGAAGAUGUAACGGGGCUAAACCAUGCACCGAAGCUGCGGCAGCGACGCUGAUGCGUUGUUGGGUAGGGGAGCGUUCUGUAAGCCUGCGAAGGUGUGCUGUGAGGCAUGCUGGAGGUAUCAGAAGUGCGAAUGCUGACAUAAGUAACGAUAAAGCGGGUGAAAAGCCCGCUCGCCGGAAGACCAAGGGUUCCUGUCCAACGUUAAUCGGGGCAGGGUGAGUCGACCCCUAAGGCGAGGCCGAAAGGCGUAGUCGAUGGGAAACAGGUUAAUAUUCCUGUACUUGGUGUUACUGCGAAGGGGGGACGGAGAAGGCUAUGUUGGCCGGGCGACGGUUGUCCCGGUUUAAGCGUGUAGGCUGGUUUUCCAGGCAAAUCCGGAAAAUCAAGGCUGAGGCGUGAUGACGAGGCACUACGGUGCUGAAGCAACAAAUGCCCUGCUUCCAGGAAAAGCCUCUAAGCAUCAGGUAACAUCAAAUCGUACCCCAAACCGACACAGGUGGUCAGGUAGAGAAUACCAAGGCGCUUGAGAGAACUCGGGUGAAGGAACUAGGCAAAAUGGUGCCGUAACUUCGGGAGAAGGCACGCUGAUAUGUAGGUGAGGUCCCUCGCGGAUGGAGCUGAAAUCAGUCGAAGAUACCAGCUGGCUGCAACUGUUUAUUAAAAACACAGCACUGUGCAAACACGAAAGUGGACGUAUACGGUGUGACGCCUGCCCGGUGCCGGAAGGUUAAUUGAUGGGGUUAGCGCAAGCGAAGCUCUUGAUCGAAGCCCCGGUAAACGGCGGCCGUAACUAUAACGGUCCUAAGGUAGCGAAAUUCCUUGUCGGGUAAGUUCCGACCUGCACGAAUGGCGUAAUGAUGGCCAGGCUGUCUCCACCCGAGACUCAGUGAAAUUGAACUCGCUGUGAAGAUGCAGUGUACCCGCGGCAAGACGGAAAGACCCCGUGAACCUUUACUAUAGCUUGACACUGAACAUUGAGCCUUGAUGUGUAGGAUAGGUGGGAGGCUUGGAAGUGUGGACGCCAGUCUGCAUGGAGCCGACCUUGAAAUACCACCCUUUAAUGUUUGAUGUUCUAACGUUGACCCGUAAUCCGGGUUGCGGACAGUGUCUGGUGGGUAGUUUGACUGGGGCGGUCUCCUCCUAAAGAGUAACGGAGGAGCACGAAGGUUGGCUAAUCCUGGUCGGACAUCAGGAGGUUAGUGCAAUGGCAUAAGCCAGCUUGACUGCGAGCGUGACGGCGCGAGCAGGUGCGAAAGCAGGUCAUAGUGAUCCGGUGGUUCUGAAUGGAAGGGCCAUCGCUCAACGGAUAAAAGGUACUCCGGGGAUAACAGGCUGAUACCGCCCAAGAGUUCAUAUCGACGGCGGUGUUUGGCACCUCGAUGUCGGCUCAUCACAUCCUGGGGCUGAAGUAGGUCCCAAGGGUAUGGCUGUUCGCCAUUUAAAGUGGUACGCGAGCUGGGUUUAGAACGUCGUGAGACAGUUCGGUCCCUAUCUGCCGUGGGCGCUGGAGAACUGAGGGGGGCUGCUCCUAGUACGAGAGGACCGGAGUGGACGCAUCACUGGUGUUCGGGUUGUCAUGCCAAUGGCACUGCCCGGUAGCUAAAUGCGGAAGAGAUAAGUGCUGAAAGCAUCUAAGCACGAAACUUGCCCCGAGAUGAGUUCUCCCUGACCCUUUAAGGGUCCUGAAGGAACGUUGAAGACGACGACGUUGAUAGGCCGGGUGUGUAAGCGCAGCGAUGCGUUGAGCUAACCGGUACUAAUGAACCGUGAGGCUUAACCUUACAACGCCGAAGCUGUU
rnacentral:rRNA from 1 species